UUGAACGCUGGUGGCAUGCCUUACACAUGCAAGUCGAACGGCAGCACAGGGGCAACCCUGGUGGCGAGUGGCGAACGGGUGAGUAAUAUAUCGGAACGUACCCUAGAGUGGGGGAUAACGUAGCGAAAGUUACGCUAAUACCGCAUACGAUCUACGGAUGAAAGUGGGGGCUCGCAAGACCUCAUGCUCAUGGAGCGGCCGAUAUCUGAUUAGCUAGUUAGUGAGGUAAAGGCUCACCAAGGCGACGAUCAGUAGCUGGUCUGAGAGGACGACCAGCCACACUGGGACUGCGACACGGCCCAGACUCCUACGGGAGGCAGCAGUGGGGAAUUUUGGACAAUGGGGGCAACCCUGAUCCAGCAAUGCCGCGUGAGUGAAGAAGGCCUUCGGGUUGUAAAGCUCUUUUGUCAGGGAAGAAACGGUGAAGGCUUAUAUCCUUUGCUAAUGACGGUACCCGAAGAAUAAGCACCGGCUAACUACGU
rnacentral:rRNA from 1 species